UACGGAGGAGGCAAGCGUUAUCCGGAAUUACUGGGCGUAAAGAGCGCGCAGGCGGUCGUUCAAGUCGCGUGUGAAAGCCCCCGGCUCAACUGGGGAGGGUCACGCGAUACUGAUCGACUCGAAGGCAGGAGAGGGUAGUGGAAUUCCCGGUGUAGUGGUGAAAUGCGUAGAUAUCGGGAGGAACACCAGUGGCGAAGGCGACUACCUGGCCUGUUCUUGACGCUGAGGCGCGAAAGCUAGGGGAGCAAACGGG
rnacentral:rRNA from 1 species